rnacentral:misc_RNA from 1 species
AAGUCGUAACAAGGUUUCCGUAGGUGAACCUGCGGAAGGAUCAUUAUUGAAUAAACUUGGUCGGGUUGCUGCUGGCUUUUCGGAGCAUGUGCACGCCUGCCACCAUUUUUACCACCUGUGCACUCUUUGUAGAUCUAGAAUAUCUCUCGAGGAAACUCGGUUUGAGAGAUGCUGUGCGCAAGCCAGCUUCUCUUGCAUUCUAGGUCUAUGUAUUUAUUAUACCCCAUACUAUAUUUCAGAAUGUCAUUAAUGGGCCUUGUGCCUUUAAAUUAAUACAACUUUCAACAACGGAUCUCUUGGCUCUC